rfam:TPA: Bos taurus chromosome 28, whole genome shotgun sequence.
UCCCUGCUAGCUUAGCUGGUAAAGAAUCUGCCUGCAAUGCAGGCAACCCUGGUUCGAUUCCUGGGUCAGGAA